rnacentral:lncRNA from 1 species
GGGCAGCGCGGGUGGCGCCACGGGCGGAGGCGACUUCCUGGGCCCUGGUGCACGGCGCCCCCUGGCGGGCCUCGGGGAGGCGGCCUCCUGCGUGCCCGGACCGCUCGCUGCGCCUUCCCGCCUGGCUUCCGGUUACCCAACCUCAUCUCGCCCGAGCCUCAUCUGUAGCUCACCGUCCUGUGCGCCCUGUGCUGUUGGCAGGGCGUGUGGGAUUUAGAGGGUUUUCUAUACUGAGUCUUCCUCGGAGCAGGUGAAUUCUGCAUAGCUGGCCCAGUUCUGUGUCUUAAGUAUGGGGAGAGAGUGGGGGCUGGAGAAAUCACUAGCAGGGGAGGAGCCCUGAGGUUGCCGAGGGGGAUCGGAGCUACUUCCCAAGGCGCCUACACCGCCCGUAGACUGGGAAACUACGGUCACAAAGGGUCAGCGCAUUCCCCAAGGUCCCAGAGCCACACGCAGCAUGGCUGGCAUUUGAAAGUCAAAGCAGAGGAAGCAGGCAGGUGGCUCUUGUUGAACUGGCUUCCAGAGUCUGUGUUGGGCAGAGAGAUCCUUCCCCGAGAGUGGAGUGGCCUCGUGCUCACCUGGGUUCAGCGUCAAGGUUCACCUGGAAUCACCUGCACUCUUGUCCUUGACCAAGGCAGGGUGGUUAGCCAUGGGCUGAUAGCCUUGGAGAGCCUGAUUCAGCCUUUGGGUAGAGCUGGGUCAGUCCAGCCUCAGGGCCAUCACUCACCCGAAGCAUUGUGGUAACCUGCCUGCCCCUGGAGACCCCGGGUGUGGGGCAGGGUGACCGUGGUGGAGAGUGGGAGCUGGCAGAGGUAAGGAGGCACACGUCUGCCACAGCACCAGAGCUCAGGGCGCCUGAGAAGCAAGGUCAUAGCGUCCUGUUCUUGGACCCCGUCAGUCUCCACAGCUAUAGGGGGCUCCAUUGAAAAGAGUGUGCCAGACCUUCUCUGUCUGUGCCCUGGUGAGGGCUCACUCACUCUCCAGGCUUGCUGGGGGAGGAGGCACGAACUUCGGUGGAAAGAACAGAACUCAGGAGCCAGAGAAUGGAGUUUGACUCCUGCCUCGGACACUCAUGUAUAAAGUGAGGAUAGUAAUACUGCUGAAUCCCUGGGUCUGUUAGAGAAUGAAGCGAGGAAAGUCAGGCAGAGCACUUAACUAAGUGCCCAGCUCGCAUUAAGUACACCAUGCUCAUGCCCAUGGCCAGGAUGGUGUGUUCCAGCUGCAACCUUUAGCAGGGGCCCUGGAAGUGCUUGUGUCUUCUGCUUCGUCCAUCAUUAGCAGCAGCAGAAGGUAGGGCAGUGUUUGCUUCUCAAACCAGGUUUCUCACACAUUGAAAGAUAUUCUGCAUUUAAAUUUACAUGAUAAAUUAAAAUAUAAGCCAUUGGGAUGAACACCUUAUAAUCAAAUACUCCCAGGUGACCUAGUGCCUGAGUUUACCUGAGUGUUUAAAAUCAAGUUGGCGACAAGGAACAGCGAACACGACUGCCUUUAAUAUUUAGUUAGACCCUGGUGGGGUGAGGCUCCCAGGAGUGGCUUCCCUUUGGGCCCUUCCUCUGUCCUCCCAGGUGGCUGAGGGGGACCUACAACCCUAGUCAGCAGUUGGGAAUCCGUCCUCAUCAGUGAGCUACCUGGCUUCCAUGAAACUAGGGUCGUGUCUAGGGAUCUAGUGUUUUGGAAGCUCCUGGAAAUGAGGUUGGCCAAGAGGGUCUUCUGGAAAUCUCCGCUCACUGAGCCAUCAUCCUACGCCAGUGGUCAAAUUCUGCCAGAACCACACUGCAGAUCAUGUUUAAUUAGAGUUCUUAGGGUACUUUUGUUUUUACGUAGCGACGUUGUUUGUUUUUUUCUAGUUGUUAUAAGCAUUGCAGGGCUAUCUGUUGUUUCACGUGCUUAAAUAUUUAAGCCAGUCAAUGCCGGAACCUAGGGAUCGUUUCCACCUUCUUUUUGAAAAGGGUCACAUUACUGGAAGAAGAAACCUGGAGCUGAUUCACAAAAGUAGAGUAAUCCUGUCUGCAGUUGAGAGUUGAAGCCACGAGGUGGCGCCCUCAGCACACUACUUGAGCUGUUGGGUUUUCCAGCGGCAAUGACCAGCACGGGGACAGAGGAUGUCCUGAAGAGGGGCUCUGUCCGCUUCAGGACGUCCAGGGGAGUCACCUGUGUAACACUCACAGGAAAUACAUGCUUCUGUGGGUACACAGCUGGGAACAGGGUGAGGCAAGUGAGUUAUCUUGGGUGCAAAUUUUAAGGGGCAAUGAGCGCCCCUCUCCCCUCACCCUGGUCCCGGCCCUGGGCCACCGGACUGGGACAUGUCUGUGAGGACCAGAGUUGGGGAGCGGCUCCCUGACACCCCAGGAGAGAGGGUGAUGCUUUGACCUCAGCCCUGGUCAGGUGGGGCCUACACCACGGGGACGCUAAAGCCCCUAUUCUGAUCCAGAGGCUGUGGCCGGAAUAAACGGAUGUACUUUCUGGGAGGGGAUUAAGGGGAUGGACGAGGUGCUGCCCCAUCCCUAUUCCCACUAUGAAUUGGAGCCACAGGGACAUGGAGGGUGUGGAGCUGAGCCGAGUGCGUCCCUGGAGUGCCCUUUCCUGUCUGCACUCGGGCUGGGCCAGCCUCCUGUGGCUCCUGCACAUGGCAGCCCCCCUCAGCUGGAGGAGCCACAGUGGAGCAGGCGUGGAGUCCGUGGCACCAUGGCAGGGGGUCUCUGUCCAGGGCCUGGGUACUCGGUGACACUGGGAGAGAAUGCAGCCUGCAGCGUGGCCUCGGAAACUGGAAUAAGAGAGCUGACCUAUGAAGGAGGCACGGGAAGCUGGGUGCAGAGAUGACCGAGAAACUGGCAAACAUUUUGGUAAACCAGAGCACCAUGCUGCGUGAGUGAGGAGUAACCAAGGUGGAAGUGUUAAGGAUGAGGUGGAACGAAUAUUCAUACCAUACAGUAACUAACACUGAACACAGUCACCUGGAAGAGAAGACUGGGGAGAAUCGGGACAUUAAGGCUCCUGGGCACUUGCGGUUUUUACUCCGGGUCAGCGCUGUCCAACAGGGAUAUAGUUUGAACCACGUCUAUAAUUAAACGCUUUCUGGUAGCCAUAUUAAAAAAGAAACAGGUGAAAUUGGUUUAAUAACAUAUUUUAUUUAGGGCAAUAUAUGCAAAAUACUAUCAUUUCCACAUAUAAUCAUUUAUAAAUAUUAUUUAUUGAAACAUUUUGUAUUCCUUUUUUUAUACCAACUCUUUCAAAUCCGGUGCAUAUUUUACAUUUAUAGCAUAUUCCAAUUUGGAUACUAAAUUUCUGCUGCAAAUAUUUUAUCUGUAUUUAGAGUUUACAAAAUUUAGAGUUAAAAAAAGAUUUUCAAGUUGUUCUAAACAUGCGUUUUUAGUAAUUGGAUUGUGUAUCAAUUUCUAAAUUAAGAUUAAAUAAAAUUGAACAUUUAAGUGCUCGGUUGAUCUAAUUUCAAAUGUGAUUAGUGGCCCUACUGUAUUGGAUAGUGCAGUGGUAGGCAUUUAAAAGUAAAGUAUUCAUGUUAAAAAUGUUAAGAAUAACAAGCAAAGAAUAGAAGUAGAAUAUAUAACUUCUAAACCAGUAGAGGGGGCUGCAUACAAAAAAAAUCCCGAUCAAUUCAACAGAAGGGGAAGUGAGAAAACAAUAAAACAAAAAUUAUGAUAAAUAGAAACACAAAAGAAGAAGAUAAAAAUAGGUAUAAAUGCCAUAAAUUUAUCAGUAACAGUAGUAAAUGUAAACAGAUUAAUCUCACACAUUAAAAGACAGAAGUACUUAGGUUGGAAUUUUUAAAAAUCCAGUUGUAGCUGCUUGUGAAGAGACAUCUAAAAUAUAAGAACACAGAAAUGUUGAAAAUAAAUGAAUGGAAAAAGAUAUGUGAGACAAAUAGGAAUUAAAAUAAAACUAGUGUAGUGAACUCAUAUUAAUAUGGACAAGACAGACUAAGGAAAAUCUUUAUUAGGGAUAAAGAUUGUCAUUGCAAGAUUAUAAAAGAAAC